UUCAUAUCUUUCAUUAUGACCAUACAUAUACAUUUCAUUUCAUGGGAUAUAAUCUUCAUAACAUAUUUCAAACAAUAUAUUUAUGGUGCUCAUAUAUUGCAUUCCACUUCGACAUGAAAAGUAUAAGUUUUGUCUAAUAGCAAAAAAGUAUUAGAUAAAACUUAUACUUUUGAUUAUAAUCGGAACUGAAAAAAACAACGUGGUACUCGGGCAAGUUUCAAGCAAGGAGAAGGAGGUAAGGAGAAUUUCGAUCGGAACGAUCGAUUUGAUGAUUUAGUGAGGCAAACGAUUAGGCAGCAUUGAAAAGCGCCGAUUUUUGGUGUUUAUCAUCCGAAACGACUUUUUCAUUUCCCCAACUGAAAAGAUGACUGACAAUAUAAUCAAGAGUUUUAUGCUAUCCCCAAAAAAAGCAACAAAAUUUCAUCCAGUUCGCUGCUGUUUUCCCAUCGAUCCUCCACAAAGGAAAGUAAUGCGAUUUUCUUUUUUUGUUACAC